GCGUUAUCCGGAAUUACUGGGCGUAAAGGGUGCGUAGGUGGUUUCUUAAGUCAGAGGUGAAAGGCUACGGCUCAACCGUAGUAAGCCUUUGAAACUGAGAAACUUGAGUGCAGGAGAGGAGAGUAGAAUUCCUAGUGUAGCGGUGAAAUGCGUAGAUAUUAGGAGGAAUACCAGUUGCGAAGGCGGCUCUCUGGACUGUAACUGACACUGAGGCACGAAAGCGUGG
rnacentral:rRNA from 1 species